UAGCUGUUCUCUAACAACUAGGCCUGCUGGCCAUGGUGUCUCACAGUUC
ensembl:miRNA